UUUUCGCCUCUUCUGUCGACGUGACUAAACGUCCAUAUUUUUUAUUUCUCCUUUCCCUCAUCUUGUCUCUGCUCCGUCUGCUGUGGACCACAGCUCAUGCCCAGACACUCACAAGCGAGCAGUUGACGCUUGCAAAAUUUGGGCUGUUCAAAAAA